rnacentral:ncRNA from 1 species
AAACCCGCAAGGGGAUGUCUGAAGGAAACCUAAGCGCAAAACAGCGAGCCGACGGACAGGAAUGUCAUAUAAGGCCUACUUCCCUGGGGCAAGGUGGCACAAGACAUCAAAGCCCUGUGGUUCGGGGGAUAAGGUAAAUGGCGCGGUUGUGCUGUGAAAGUUCAUGUU